rnacentral:rRNA from 1 species
CCUACGGGCGGCAGCAGUGAGGAAUAUUGGUCAAUGGCCGGAAGGCUGAACCAGCCAUGCCGCGUGAAGGUCAGUGCCCUAUGGGCGUUAAACUUCUUUUGUGCGGGAGCAAUAAUGGUCACGUGUGGCCAGACGAGAGUACCGUACGAAUAAGCAUCGGCUAACUACGUGCCAGCAGCCGCGGUAAUACGGGGGGUGCAAGCGUUAUGCGGAUUUAUUGGGGUUAAAGGGUGCGUAGGCUGGGAGGUAAGUCGGCGGUGGAGAGCCCCCGCACAACGGGGUGAAGUGCCUGUGAUACUGCCUUGCUGGAAUGCGGAUGCGGUAGGAGGAAUGUGUGGUGUAGCGGUGAAAUGCAUAGAUAUCACACAGAACACCGAUUGCGAAGGCAUCUCACGAAGCCGCGAUUGACGCUGAUGCACGAAAGCGUGGGUAUCAAACAGGAUUAGAUACCCCUGUAGUC